CCUACGGGUGACAGCAGUGAGGAAUAUUGGUCAAUGGCCGCGAGCCUGAACCAGCCAAGUAGCGUGAAGGAUGAAUGCCCUACGGGUUGUAAACUUCUUUUAUAGGGGAAUAAAGUUAGGCACGUGUGCCUUUUUGCAUGUACUUUAUGAAUAAGGAUCGGCUAACUCCGUGCCAGCAGCCGCGGUAAUACGGAGGAUCCGAGCGUUAUCCGGAUUUAUUGGGUUUAAAGGGUGCGUAGAUGGGUUGUUAAGUCAGUUGUGAAAGUUUGUGGCUCAACCGUAAAAUUGCAAUUGAUACUGGCAGACUUGAGUAUAGUUGAGGUAGGCGGAAUGCGUGGUGUAGCGGUGAAAUGCAUAGAUAUCACGAAGAACUCCGAUUGCGAAGGCAGCUUACUAAACUGCAACUGACAUUGAUGCUCGAAAGUGUGGGUAUCAAACAGGAUUAGAUACCCGGGUAGUC
rnacentral:rRNA from 1 species